UACGUAGGGCGCGAGCGUUGUCCGGAAUUAUUGGGCGUAAAGAGCUCGUAGGCGGCCUGUCACGUCCGCUGUGAAAUCCCGGGGCUCAACCCCGGGCGUGCAGUGGAUACGGGCUGGCUGGAGGCAGGCAGGGGAGAACGGAAUUCCUGGUGUAGCGGUGGAAUGCGCAGAUAUCAGGAGGAACACCGGUGGCGAAGGCGGGUCUCUGGGCCGUUACUGACGCUGAGGAGCGAAGGCGUGGGGAGCGAACAGG
rnacentral:rRNA from 1 species